rnacentral:piRNA from 1 species
UACCAACAUCCAUGAUGAUGCCAGCAGUG